rnacentral:rRNA from 1 species
UACGUAGGCAGCGAGCGUUGUCCGGAAUUAUUGGGCGUAAAGAGCUCGUAGGCGGUGUGUCGCGUCGGCCGUGAAAACCUGCAGCUUAACUGUGGGCUUGCGGUCGAUACGGGCAUCACUGGAGUUCGGCAGGGGAGACUGGAAUUCCUGGUGUAGCGGUGAAAUGCGCAGAUAUCAGGAGGAACACCGGUGGCGAAGGCGGGUCUCGUGGGCCGAUACUGACGCUGAGGAGCGAAAGCGGUGGGGAGCGAACAGG